rnacentral:lncRNA from 1 species
GAGCAAGGUACUCAUAAAACCUCUGAAGAACUGUGCCUGUGCAGUGUCCAGGCAACCUACCCUACAUCGCCUUGCUUUAAUCUGUGCGGGCCAUCACAUACCCGGAACAAGAGCCUUCCUGGUACAGUCUUUUGGGAUCCAGUUUUAGAGUUGGUGCUAGCACAUCUAAGAGGCAUGGAAAGACUAGACUUUGGAGUCACGAGAACAGAGGUGGGAGUUACGACAGAGAAGACGGCUUGCCCAAGGACAAGCAUCUGGACCUACUAGGGUCACACUACGGAGAAGG